rnacentral:rRNA from 1 species
AGGUAGUACAAUAAACCUAUAUAUUUUGGCGGCAUUUCAUCUAAUUAGAGGAACUUGUACUUUAAUCGAUAAUACACGUUAACUUAUACUAAUAUUACAAUUUAUAUAUCGCCAUUUUUAAGAUUUAAUUAAAAAAUUUUUUCUUAAUAAUUAUUAAAAAAUUAGGUCAAGGUGUAAUUCAUAUAUUAGAAAGAAAUGAGUUACAUUAAAUGCUAUUUAAAGAUAUUUAAAAAUAUUUUAAAUUAAAUAAGGAUUUAAAAGUAAAUAAUUAAUAAUAAUUAUUUUUGAAAUAGAUAAUAAAUGUGC